AAUUUUACUUGUUUAAAUAUUGGUAUUGCAUACUAUUACAAUAAAAUUUCAUGUUAAUGAAAAAUAGAAACAAAGGGUAGAGUAAAUAUUAGUUUUAUUGUUUCAUACUAAAAAUUAUAUUUAUUAGAGUUGAUAUGUCGACCUUUGUGAUAAAUGUUUUUAUUUUUAUAUUAGAAAAUUAUAUAUUAUAUAAUUAUUUUAGGAAAUUUAAAAUUUGAAGUGUUUUAAAUUUAUGUUUUACAACAUUUUCCUAAUUUUAUUUAAGUUUAAUUUUUAAUUUAAUAAAGUUUUAUUAAAUAAAUAAUUUGUAAAUUAGUAAAUUUUAUAAAUUUAAUUUAUUAUUAAAAUAUAAUUGAAGAACUUGAAGUCUUGAUCAAAUGUUUUUUAAAGACUUAGGCUUUAUAUUAAAGCUGGCUUCUGCCCUAUGAUAUUUAAAUGGCAGUCUUAGCGUGAGGACAUUAAGGUAGCAAAAUAAUUUGUGCUUUUAUUGAGUUCCAGUAUGAAUGAAGUUAUUGGUUAGUUCUAUUUAUGUUUUAUGUUUGAAUUUAAUUUUUAUUUAAGAAAAAAUAAAUAUAUUUAUACAAAGAUAAGUCUUCGGAAAUUCUGUUAUUACACAAUUAAAUAAUUGUGUAAUAAAUUUUCUAGGGCAGAAUAUUAUAUAAUAGUAUUUCACUAUAUUUAAUUUAAAGAAUUACUCCGGA
rnacentral:rRNA from 1 species